rnacentral:rRNA from 1 species
CCGGUCUUGACAUUCACGGAAUCCUUUAGAGAUAGAGGAGUGCCUUUGGGAGCCGUGAAACAGGUGCUGCAUGGCUGUUGUCAGCUCGUGUUGUGAGAUGUUGGGUUAAGUCCCGCAACGAGCGCAACCCCUGUCCUUUGUUGCCAACCCGUUAUGGUGGGAACUUUAAGGGGGACUCCGGGUGCAAACCGGGGGAAGGGGGGGGAGGAGGCAAGUUCUCCUGGCCCUUUAGACCAGGGGUUCCCCCGUUCUUCAAAGGGGGGGACCAAGGGGUGGGAAACCCGGAGGGGGGAGCAAAUCCAGAAAACCCAUUCUAAUUCGGGAUGGAAUUUGCAAAUUGGCUCCCAGGAAUUGGGAACCGCUGAAUCG